rnacentral:tRNA from 1 species
AAUUAUUUGGCAGAAUAUUGUAUUAAAUUUAGAAUUUAAGAAACUUCAAUUAUCU